GUAGGUGGCAAGCGUUGUCCGGAGUUAUUGGGCGUAAAGCGCGCGCAGGCGGUCCUUUAAGUCUGAUGUGAAAGCCCACGGCUCAACCGUGGAGGGUCAUUGGAAACUGGGGGACUUGAGUACAGAAGAGGAAAGCGGAAUUCCAAGUGUAGCGGUGAAAUGCGUAGAGAUUUGGAGGAACACCAGUGGCGAAGGCGGCUUUCUGGUCUGUAACUGACGCUGAGGCGCGAAAGCGUGGGGAGCAAACAGGGAUUAGAUACCCUGGUAGUCCACGCCGUAAACGAUGAGUGCUAAGUGUUAGGGGGUUUCCCGCCCCCUUAGUGCUGCAGCUAACGCAUUAAGCACUCCGCCUGGGGAGUACGGCCGCAAGGCUG
rnacentral:rRNA from 1 species